GCUCAGCAGACUGCACUGUGUUUUCCCCGGCCAGCGCAGUCUUUUUCCCUCUCCCCUCCUGGCAGGUGAUUCGAGUUGACUGGUGGGCGGAGACACACACCUGCGGCUCGUUCAGCGGCACGCGGCGGCGCUAUAAGAACUGCGCUCAGACAGCCGAGAGAUGCCAGAUUGUUAACCUAAAGUGGUAAAACUCAGUGGCCCUUUGUCGUCUGACAUCUCUCUCGUUUCUCCCUGUCUAACCUAAGUCUCCUGUGCUCCAGGUCUGCCUCCGCCUUGGGUCCCGUCCCAAGUGGCUCUCCCAAGCCUUGACGUCGUCAGUCAGGUCUCCCGUAAAUUGAUCUUCUGGAACCCGCUCCUCCAUCUGGUUCUCUUGGCUGUCAACGGAUCACCUUCACGCCGCUGCUGCUCGGAUCCCUCUCCGCUCCGCCGGACCGCCCACCUGCCUCUCAGUCAUCUGCGGGAGGCUGCCUCUGUGCCCGUCUUUCCACGCCACUCCCCCCGGCUCAGUUCCUGCGCUACGCGAUUUCACUCGCUUCCUCCGUACAGUCCCCUCAAACAAUCCACGUUGAUGCUCCUUGUCUUGCACGUUUAACAAUAAACUUCUAAACCUGC